GAAGAAGGUGCGGAGUUGCGCAUUGUCAAUAGAUUAACUAUUAGAGUUCUCCGAUUUGUCACAAAGCUUGACGAUGGCAGCGAGCGUCAAGUUGCCGAGCAUGAUAUUGAGUUUGAGGUUAACAUGAAAUAUUUUACGGUUGAAAAAAUGGUAGAACUUAUUCGGUCCAAAAUUGUUUGGGGAAGUGGGCAAGAGGUCCAUAUUCUGUGCCAAGACAAGCACUUUGAAUCAGUUGAGAGGAUUGAUAAUUAUUGAAAGCUGCUGAUAGCAUUUCUUGAGAGAUGAGAAGAAAAAGAAUUGCUAGUGUUAGCUCAAGUUGUGGACAUUGCAAAUGGGCUACAACAUCACACUGCUCUGAAAAUAUCCCAUGCAUCUAGUGAGAUUGUAGACAAUAUCAUCUGCUCAAGUUCUGACGUUUACCAGUCAAAUGCUAGUAGUGAAACAUGUGUCGACGAUUCUACAACUGGUAGUUUUCUUCUUGGCAAUUCGAGAUAUAUGCAAUCUGAUGGUGAAGUCAUUGAUUGGUCCGCUAUUGCAAUAACUCCUAUUGGUGAUGAUGUAAUAUAUCCUAUAUCCUAUGAAGACAUGUGUGUGGUACUCAGAAUUGAGGAUGAGGAAGAGGAUGCUCAACCACUACAUGAACCAGCUCCGGUUGUUGCGUGCCAUGUUAGUGAUGAGUUAAUGGCUGAAGGAGCUAUACUAGUUGAUGAUCAAGUUCCCGAGGACAUAGAAAUAUCAUAUGACAAAGAUCAUCCAAAAGUCGAGAAAGGCUCAAUCUUUCCAACAAUGAUAGAUUAUAGGAGGGUUGUGAGGCAAUGGGCAAUAAUGAAGAAUUCAACCUUGGAACUCACAUAG
rnacentral:rRNA from 1 species